rnacentral:ncRNA from 1 species
GCCGGAGACUACGGGUGCCUGCCGCGCCAUCCUCCCUGACAUUGUUCACUGGAACGGUCACUGGGUUAGGAUGGCGUUCAGCAGGCUGAGAGUAUACCGUUGAACUUGAUCGCGUUUAUGCGUGCGAAAGGAGUGUCUCCCUGCCCCCAC